rnacentral:tRNA from 1 species
UGCCUCCAGAGAGAAACGAACUCUCGACCCCUGGUUUACAAUACCAGUGCUUUGUCACUGGGCUAUAGAGGU